CGGGAGGCAGCAGUGGGGAAUAUUGCACAAUGGGGAAACCCUGAUGCAGCAACGCCGCGUGGAGGAUGACACAUUUCGGUGCGUAAACUCCUUUUAUAUGGGAAGAUAAUGACGUACCAUAUGAAUAAGCACCCGGCUAA
rnacentral:rRNA from 1 species